rnacentral:rRNA from 1 species
AACCAACAGGGAUUGCCCUAGUAACGGCGAGUGAAGCGCCAACAGCUCAAAUUUGAAAUCUGGCGUCUUUGGCGUCCGAGUUGUAAUUUGCAGAGGGCGCUUUGGCAUUGGCAGCGGUCCAAGUUCCUUGGAACAGGACGUCACAGAGGGUGAGAAUCCCGUACGUGGUCNCUAGCCUUUACCGUGUAAAGCCCCUUCGACGAGUCGAGUUGUUUGGGAAUGCAGCUCUAAAUGGGAGGUAAAUUUCUUCUAAAGCUAAAUACUGGCCAGAGACCGAUAGCGCACAAGUAGAGUGAUCGAAAGAUGAAAAGCACUUUGGAAAGAGAGUUAAAAAGCACGUGAAAUUGUUGAAAGGGAAGCGCUUGCAGCCAGACUUGCCUGUAGUUGCUCAUCCGGGUUUUUACCCGGUGCACUCUUCUAUAGGCAGGCCAGCAUCAGUUUGGGCGGUUGGAUAAAGGUCUCUGUCACGUACCUCCUCUCGGGGAGAACUUAUAGGGGAGACGUAAUGCAACCAGCCUGGACUGAGGUCCGCGCAUCUGCUAGGAUGCUGGCGUAAUGGCUGUAAGCGG